AUGUUCCUGUCGAUCACAGACAGAGACACACGCUGUGCAUACAAGCGGCAUAGGAACCACAGUAAAGUAUCCAGCCAUCCCUCCCUUGACUGGGACAGCUCUGUGCAACCUACCGCCUUGUCCCAGGCAUCCCAAACAUUUACAUAAACAGCCCACGUGCCAGGUGCCAGAGAAUUUCCAUAUGAAUCCUCCAAGCCAUGGGCGUCUGCAGG